UGGCAAAGUGGUUAAGCUCUUGGCUGCUAACCAAAAGGUUGGUGGUUCGAACCCACC
rfam:Loxodonta africana unplaced genomic scaffold scaffold_13, whole genome shotgun sequence.